rnacentral:misc_RNA from 1 species
UUUCCGUUGGUGAACCAGCGGAAGGAUCAUUACAGAGAUCGUGCCCUCCGGGGUAGACCUCCCACCCUGUGUUAUUUACGUAUGUUGCUUUGGCGGGCCGCCUCCGGGCUCUCGGCUUCGGCCGAGGUGUGCCCGCCAGAGAACCCACAACCCUGUGUUUAGUGUCGUCUGAGUAUUAUCAAAUAAGUUAAAACUUUCAACAACGGAUCUCUUGGUUCUG